UGGGGAAUUUUGGACAAUGGGCGAAAGCCUGAUCCAGCAAUGCCGCGUGUGUGAAGAAGGCCUUCGGGUUGUAAAGCACUUUUGUCCGGAAAGAAAUCCUUGGCUCUAAUACAGUCGGGGGAUGACGGUACCGGAAGAAUAAGCACCGGCUAACUACGUGCCAGCAGCCGCGGUAAUACGUAGGGUGCAAGCGUUAAUCGGAAUUACUGGGCGUAAAGCGUGCGCAGGCGGUUUGCUAAGACCGAUGUGAAAUCCCCGGGCUCAACCUGGGAACUGCAUUGGUGACUGGCAGGCUAGAGUAUGGCAGAGGGGGGUAGAAUUCCACGUGUAGCAGUGAAAUGCGUAGAGAUGUGGAGGAAUACCGAUGGCGAAGGCAGCCCCCUGGGCCAAAUACUGACGCUCAUGCACGAAAGCGUGGGGAGCAAACAGGAUUAGAUACCCUGGUAGUCCACGCCCUAAACGAUGUCAACUAGUUGUUGGGGAUUCAUUUCCUUAGUAACGUAGCUAACGCGUGAAGUUGACCGCCUGGGGAGUACGGUCGCAAGAUUAAAACUUAAAGGAAUUGACGGGGUCAUAGCUG
rnacentral:rRNA from 1 species